CCUACGGGAGGCAGCAGUGGGGAAUCUUGCGCAAUGGGCGAAAGCCUGACGCAGCCAUGCCGCGUGAAUGAUGACGGUCUUAGGGUUGUUAAAUUCUUUUACCCGGGACGAUAAUGACGGUACCCGGAGAAGAAGCGCCGGCUACCUUCGUACCAGCAGCCGCGGUAAUCCGAAGGGGGCUAGCGUUGCUCGGAAUUACUGGGCGUAAAGGGCGCGUAGGCGGACAUUUAAGUCCGGGGUGAAAUCCCAGAGGUCAAAUCUGGAACUGCCUUUGAUACUGGGUGUCUUGAGUGUGAGAGAGGUAUGUGGAACUCCGAGUGUAGAGGUGAAAUUCGUAGAUAUUCGGAAGAACACCAGUGGCGAAGGCGACAUACUGGCUCAUUAUUGACGCUGAGGCGCGAAAGCGUGGGGAGCAAACAGGAUUAGAUACCCCGGUAGUC
rnacentral:rRNA from 1 species